GCCGGAAGUGACGUAGCCCUUAAAUCCACUUCCGGUGCGACGAGACUUGUCCCGUUUCACGGACGAAUCCGGCCAAAAUGUGCCGUGUGUUUCCAUGGAGAUCGAUCGAAGCUGAAGCGCGCGUCCGUGCACGCUUCACGCACUGAUAUAUCCCGUCAUGCACCGCGCCUGCGCUAAAAAGAGAAGAAAAUGGAGCACGCCACGCAAAACAUGUUCAAAUGGAGCGAGGAGCAGACGGUGGAGUUUAUCCGUCUGAGGGGAGAGAAUGGACAUUUAUUCACCGGGGCCAAACACUCCGCCAGCGCUGCCUGGAGGAAAAUACUGUGGGAGCUGGGCCUGGAGGGGAAAGUCACUCACCUUCAGGCGAAAAAAAAGUGGGAGAACCUACAAAAGAAAUAUAAAGAGUGCAAAUAUCCAAGCAGUGGGGAAGGAGCGGCGAUGAAGGCCACCGCUGAAACUUGGCCCUGGUUUGCCCACAUGGAUGAGGUGUUGAGACAGAGGCCCUCCAUCAACCCCCCUGUCCUCAUCGCCUCUAUCCCCGACGACACACCGGGGCCCAGCACUGCCAGGCAGGAGCAGGAAGAGGAGGAGAAGGAGGAGGAGGACGACGGCGGCGACGACAACGGGGAGGACGAGGAAGAGGAUGAGGAGCAGCCGCCGCCGCAGCAGCCGCAGCCAAGGGGACGAGGGCCUGCAGCACAAAAAAGAAAGAGGGACAGUGAUUUUGUGCAGCUCUACAGGGAGGACUUACGGAGACAGUGGGAGCAGGAUGAGAGGGAGGCAGAGGAGAGGAGAGAACGAUUUGAAAGGUUGUUUGGCUUGCUAGAAAAAUUGGUGGAC
ensembl:lncRNA